rnacentral:rRNA from 1 species
GUGGGGGAUAUUGCACAAUGGGGGAAACCCUGAUGCAGCGACGCCGCGUGAAGGAAGACGUACUUCGGUAUGUAAACUUCUAUCAGCAGGGAAGAAGAUGACGGUACCUGACUAAGAAGCCCCGGCUAACUACGUGCCAGCAGCCGCGGUAAUACGUAGGGGGCAAGCGUUAUCCGGAUUUACUGGGUGUAAAGGGAGCGUAGACGGUGAAGCAAGUCUGAUGUGAAAACCCGGGGCUCAACUCCGGGAUUGCAUUGGAAACUGUUUUACUUGAGUGCUGGAAGGGCAAGCGGAAUUCCUGGUGUAGCGGUGAAAUGCGUAGAUAUCAGGAAGAACACCGGUGGCGAAGGCGGCUUGCUGGACAGUAACUGACGUUGAGGCUCGAAAGCGUGGGGAGCAAACAGGAUUAGAUACCCCGGUAGUCC